ACAGCUACCUCCAUGCUGACUGCUUUGAUUUCUGAACAGAGCGAGCCAGCCCGGGUAAAGCCGUAAUUACCUCUCAAGGAUAAACGAUAAUAUCACUUUCCUCAUCACGUCUUUGGGGCGAGACGGUCGACGCUGCAGUCUCAUAGGCAAACGAAGCGAUUUCUAUAUAAGACGGUUCGUCCGCAACGCUUUCCAGACUGAGCUGGAAUGCCAAGUGAAUGCCACUUGAUUGUUUUCAGGUGGAUUCACUUGACAUUCCAGCUCAGGUUUUUCCGUGCGGGUGUUUGACUGGAAAAGCAGACUAAGAACACUUCACCUGCACGUCAAUGGCAAACAGGUCAGAAAGAAAGGAAUGUGUCUACCUUCAUUUGUGAGAUGUAGCUAGUCUUCACCCAACUCCUACGUGCAUUGGGGGAAAGCCUACUUUAGGAAAUGUUCAGUCUUGCUACUGCAUGUUUCUUUGCAUUUAAACUUAGCGAAACGGUGUUUUUUUUUAAUCGUUUGAUUUUGGUUUGACAUAAAACAUAUUUUCCAGUUCAUCUUCCUUCUUUUGCUGUAACUACUCCGAGGAGGUUGAAGGGAAGAGUUUGAGAUCUUCCUUGACAACAAGGCAAAAAUGUGUGCUAUACAAUGGAGAAGAGGUGGAAAACUUUUUUUUUUCAAGUUAAUCCACUCGGGAUUCCAGAUGAAGAUUUUUUUCUUCGUGACAGUGUUUGACUGGAAAGACAGACUGUGGAGACGUGUUUGAGGCGACACACAGGCUGCAUCCGAAAUUCGUGUGUGUAACCUCUUCUCCAUCUGCCACACACAUCUCUACCUAGCACAGGCUGCUCUUCAUCUGCGUCUGAUGAUGACGACCGUGCGCCAUCAAGCCGAGGAUCAACCUCAGGCCAUGUUGUGUCAUCGGCGGCUGACUUGUCUUGACUGGUCAUUACAAACCAAGUUCAUUCUAUACAGCAAGAGGAGAAAGCAAAUUGUCAUCAUAACAGCGAAGCCUCCAUAACACAAGUAAGCUAUGUCAUCCGUCAUGGAAAAGUUGGAUAAACUGAAAAAAUGUGGUGACGGUGAAAUUCAGAAAAUGAGCAACAUACCCAAAAACGAAAAGUUCGAAGUGCUGGACAUUCAGAAAAUUGACACUAUGUAUGGCGAGGCAGUAUACGUGGAGCUCCGCAUGGAAAACGACAAGCCAGUGAAAGUGUAUCUACCUGGACGCUUCAAAAAAUUGUCGGAGGAAGAACUAGAGGAAAUGCGACUGCUUCCAAAUCUCAAAAUGGAGAAGAAAGAACGGUUUACCAAAGAUGGUAAAAAAGUCAUUUCGCCAGAUAUUAUCUUCACCAAUUCGAAGAGAAAGUGAUGAGAUAUGGUGAUGUGUCACUUAUGCUCCCAGCACGAACGGCAGUAUUAUGCAACAGCAUUAGGUCUUCAGAUUCACUUAGCAAAUGUUCACAAUCUUCAAGCCCCCUGCAUUCCUUUUUGUGAGACUUUGUGCACACUGCGAAACUAUACUAAUCGGU